rnacentral:rRNA from 1 species
UACGUAGGUCCCGAGCGUUGUCCGGAUUUAUUGGGCGUAAAGCGAGCGCAGGUGGUUUAUUAAGUCUGGUGUAAAAGGCAGUGGCUCAACCAUUGUAUGCAUUGGAAACUGGUAGACUUGAGUGCAGGAGAGGAGAGUGGAAUUCCAUGUGUAGCGAUGAAAUGCGUAGAUAUAUGGAGGAACACCGGUGGCGAAAGCGGCUCUCUGGCCUGUAACUGACACUGAGGCUCGAGAGCGUGGGGAGCAAACAGG